ACUUUAAAUAAAAAAGAAUUAAAACAGUUGUAGCUCCUGUGUCACAUGUACAUUGGUAGGUUGCAGAAAGGAGAGGACUAUGUCUAUGUUCAAUAUUCUGAUCUAUGAAUAUCUAAAUGAUUAGUAUCCUAACAUU